AGAGCGAACGCUGGCGGCAGGCUUAACACAUGCAAGUCGAGCGGGCGUAGCAAUACGUCAGCGGCAGACGGGUGAGUAACGCGUGGGAACAUACCUUUUGGUUCGGAACAACACAGGGAAACUUGUGCUAAUACCGGAUAAGCCCUUACGGGGAAAGAUUUAUCGCCGAAAGAUUGGCCCGCGUCUGAUUAGCUAGUUGGUGAGGUAACGGCUCACCAAGGCGACGAUCAGUAGCUGGUCUGAGAGGAUGAUCAGCCACAUUGGGACUGAGACACGGCCCAAACUCCUACGGGAGGCAGCAGUGGGAAUAUUGGACAAUGGGCGCAAGCCUGAUCCAGCCAUGCCGCGUGAGUGAUGAAGGCCCUAGGGUUGUAAAGCUUCUUUUGUGCGGGAAGAUAAUGACGGUUACCGCAAGAAUAAGCCCCGGACUAACUUCGCGCCAGCAGCCGC
rnacentral:rRNA from 1 species